CAGGUUCAGACAUUUGGUGUAUG
rnacentral:piRNA from 1 species